GAUGAAGAAUGCAGCAAAAUGCAUUAUGCAUUGUGAAUUGCAGAAUUCCGUGAGCUAACAGAUGUUUGAAUGUUACUUGUGCCUUUGGGAUAUUCUUGAAGGUUUGCUUGAUUCAAUGCCAAUUACCUUCCAUAUGCAAUACUGCUGUUUAGCAUUGCUG
rnacentral:rRNA from 1 species